UACGCAGGCGGCUUGGUAAGACAGAUGUGAAAUCCCCGGGCUUAACCUGGGAACUGCAUUUGUGACUGCCAGGCUCGAGUCUGUCAGAGGGGGGUGGAAUUCCACGUGUAGCAGUGAAAUGCGUAGAGAUGUGGAGGAACACCGAUGGCGAAGGCAGCCCCCUGGGAUGAGACUGACGCUCAUGUACGAAAGCGUGGGGAGCAAACAGGAUUAGAUACCCUGGUAGUCCACGCCCUAAACGAUGUCGACUAGUUGUCGGGAAUUUAUUUUCUCGGUAACGCAGCUAACGCGUGAAGUCGACCGCCUGGGGAGUACGGUCGCAAGAUUAAAA
rnacentral:rRNA from 1 species